CCUACGGGAGGCAGCAGUGAGGAAUAUUGGUCAAUGGGCGCGAGCCUGAACCAGCCAAGUCGCGUGAGGGAAGACGGUCCUAUGGAUUGUAAACCUCUUUUGUCGGGGAGCAAAAGACGCCACGCGUGGCGUUCCGAGAGUACCCGACGAACAAGCAUCGGCUAACUCCGUGCCAGCAGCCGCGGUAAUACGGAGGAUGCGAGCGUUAUCCGGAUUUAUUGGGUUUAAAGGGUGCGCAGGCGGAAGAUCAAGUCAGCGGUAAAAGUGAGAGGUUCAACCUCUUCGAGCCGUUGAAACUGGUUUUCUUGAGUGAGUGAGAAGUAUGCGGAAUGCGUGGUGUAGCGGUGAAAUGCAUAGAUAUCACGCAGAACUCCGAUUGCGAAGGCAGCAUACCGGCGCUCAACUGACGCUCAUGCACGAAAGUGUGGGUAUCGAACAGGAUUAGAUACCCGGGUAGUC
rnacentral:rRNA from 1 species